GUGAAGAACGCAGCGAAAUGCGAUAAGUAAUGUGAAUUGCAGAAUUCCGUGAAUCAUCGAAUCUUUGAACGCACAUUGCGCCCCCUGGCAUUCCGGGGGGCAUGCCUGUCCGAGCGUCAUUUCUGCCCUCAAGCACGGCUUGUGUGUUGGGUGUGGUCCCCCCGGGGACCUGCCCGAAAGGCAGCGGCGACGUCCGUCUGGUCCUCGAGCGUAUGGGGCUCUGUCACUCGCUCGGGAAGGACCUGCGGGGGUUGGUCACCACUAUAUUUUACCACGGUUGACCUCGGAUCAGGUAGGAGUUACCCGCUGAACUUAAGCAUAUCAAUAAGCGGAGGA
rnacentral:misc_RNA from 1 species